AUGCGCCUUACGCUCAUCUAUAAAUACUUCAUUUUUCGCUAUACAUCCCAAUUUCAUAUUCUUAUCACCCUUUGUAUUUCUCUCCCCCUCCUGCUUCCCUCUGUCUUCCCAUCUCUCUCUCAGUCAUCACUGGCCUUUUAUUUGCAGCUCUUACUCUCCUCACCAAAGCCCUCGACUCCCAUCCCAGUUCUCUGCUCGGGCUGCCUGCUGUGCUUGAGCCUCUCCGUCCAAACUCUUCUCUCACUCCCUCCCAUCUCUGAACGCUGCCCCCUGCUCCCCCAUGAAUGUAGUGCAGCCUCCCAGCAUGGCCCCUGCAUCCCAGGCUGUCCAGGCUCAGCUGCAUCCUUCCAGACACAGGCAUCCAGGCUGCGCCCGGGCUGGGAGGACAGAGACCUUCUCAGCUCUGGCCAAGAGGUGCGACAGCAGCUGGCAUGGGGGAAGACCCCAAGUACACCAGACAUGGGUUCUGGAACAGCCAGAGCAUCCCAGGUUAAAACCCUGGGAAAUCUGUGACAGACAAGAAGUGAACCUCAUACAACUGCAGCACAGGUCCGAGGGUACAGCUCUCAUCUCGAGCAUUUCAGGACCUCGUGUUUACUGCGACCGUUCAGAGGUGCCAGUGUGCCUGGGGAACUGAACAUUCCAUAUGGGAACAAAGUGUCCUUAGCUCUAAAAUAUGUCACAAAGACAUCAUCUUCAAGCAAUCCCUAAAUUCACGUGCAUAACGAUCAUUUGCUCAGCUCCCACUGCUGAUACACAAUCCAAUACAAAGACAGUCUCAUUCAGACGUGCUCUCAAGAGCUGCGACCUCUGAUCCUCAAAGGGGUGUGUGACAGAUACCUGAUGACCACUAUGGUGAUACCUUUUGAUCAACAGCAUCCUCCAUACUGUGCUGACGGGUUUUUAUUUCCAUUCAACCUGAGACACGCCCCGUAAAGGAACUCAUGAGUUCAUCUGUCACCAGAACCAUUUCUGGGCUGGAAACUGCUUUGGCCCUGCUACAACAGACACAGACGGUGAGCAAAGGCACCAGCACAGUCGGCCUUUGGGGACGAGACCAUCUUCCCUGUGGAAGGAGGCCCUAAGAGGAGACAGCAGGCAUGGGGUCUGUACCGCUGAUUCAUGUAUAGUAAAGAAAUGUACAAUCCAAGUCUGCAGAAAUGGUCUGUUAGGUUAUUUCUCUGCUGGAAGCCCACAUGCACGCAUCUCGACUCAGUGGAACACUGCAGACUCACUCCUCCGGGGACGGCCCCGUCGUGUUGGAGGGGUCGGAGCUCCAGAAGAAGGCAAUCAUUCACGUAUGCUUUUUCAAGACUCUCCAAAGGGAGAACAGCCUUUCCCACAUACACAUGAAGUUUUCUUGUAAAGUAACCUAUCUGGAAAACACGUACGUGAUAAAGAUGACAAAGACGUCAUCUUCAAGCGAUCCCUAAAUUCACUUAAGGCUAAAGCUAUGGGGGGUAGUGAGGGAGUGCUCACAGCCAAAAAAUUUGAUGAGAAUGAUUUCUCCAGAAAAAAAGUAUUGACCUAUACACAGACACACCCACCCCCUGCGGGUAAGGAGGGCUGAGAGAGAACGGAGAGGGGACCGUGUGACAUUCACAAAGGCACCUGGUCACUCACCUUUCAGGAACUGGCCACCUGCUACCUUUCUAGGUUUGUACAAACUGUGUAUCUAACAUGAGCUUUCCAUCAUGUUCCGAGGAAUAAGCCCUACCUGAGCUCCAGGACGUCAGAAGCCCUUUCACUGACGCCAGGUGCCUGCCCUCCUUACCAGGUUGUACGGCACUGCUCUGCACUUGUGUCCAUUUUUCCCAAAUAGAGACGAGGGGAAACACAACAGAAAGAUCCACCAAAUCUUGCCCCAGAGCCAAGCCCUGCUUGGUACUUGUCAGUGUUCUCCAGACAAACAGAACCUAUGGGCCCUGGAUGCUUGAGAAACUUUUUUUUUAAUGAUUUUUAUUUUUUCCGUUAUAGUUGGUUUACAGUGUUCUGUCCAUUUUCUAUGAUACAGCAAAAUGAUCCAGUCACACACACAGACACACACACAUAUAUACACACUUUUUUCUCACAUUAUCCUCCGUCAUGUUCCAUCAUCAGUGACUAGAUACAGUUCUCCGGGCUACACAGCAGGAUCUCAUGGCUUAUCCAUGCCCAAUACAACAGUUUGCAUCUAUUCAACGUAUUUCAAGGAAGAGACUCAUGCUCUUAUGGAAGAUGGCAACUUCAAAAUCUGCACAGCGGGCCAUCCGGCUAGAGACCCAGGAUGAGCAGAUACUAUAGUUCAAGUCUAAAGGCCAUGUGCUGGGAUUCCCUCCUGCUCAGACGAGGUCAUUCUUGCUCUAUUUGGGUCUCCGCCCAAUUGGGCAAUGCCCACCCAUGUUACAGCGGGCAAGCUGUCCUCCACUUUAAAUGUCCACUUCAUUCAAAAACACACAGAACCCAAUCACAGAGUUUUCAUAAGUGAAACCGUUAGUGGAAGAAAAAAACUGGGAGGGUAGGAGUAACAUACACAUACCAUGGAAUAAAAUAGAUGUCUCAUAAGAACCUGCUGUAGAG
rnacentral:lncRNA from 1 species